UCACCUAGACAUACAGUUGUAAGGUUUGAAAUUGAGAAUUACAAGUCCUCUCACAUUGUUCUUCUUUUUCAAGUACGUUUUGGUUACUGAGACCUCGAAUUCCCAUAUGAAUUGUAGCAGCAGCUAGUCAGUUUCUGCAGAGGAGCCCGCAGGGAUUGUGAUCGAGACCACGUUGAAUAUACGGAUCUUUCUGGGGAGCACUGCCAUUCCAAGAGCGCUGUCUUCUGAUCCAGCAAUGUGAUAAUGCUCUGGUUGCUGAAUGUGCCCUUUCCCCAGACUUGGUUUUGGAGUUAAGUCACCAUCAGUGGAGCCCUCUCUUUAAAAGAUGAAGAAAACAUUUGCUCCUUCUCCCUGGUUGGGGACUUGGAUGAGAUGAGAGUUCUACAUAUAGUUGGUUACAUUCUGUACCUGGAAAUUUCUACAAAAUUUCUUCCCACGUGCCCUCACCUCCAGUAGCAUCCAUCCAGACACCGGAACUGACACUGGCCGUGCUCAGAACUGCCUCAGCCCUGAAGACACAACUGACAAAUAGAAGGAGGCCACGCCCU